UUUUUUCAGUUCUCUCUCUCAUCCCACUGUGGAGCUGGUGAACGAAGGGCUGUGUGGUGCUGAGCUGCCAGCCAGGUUAAACCACAAUGACUAAACCAUUCUGUGGUUCUUAUUCUCCCUCUCCUUUCAUUCAGAUUCUGCUCUGAGCCUGGUAUGCCUGUUGAUUGUACUGAGGCUUACCGAUCCUUUUUGGAGAAAAAGUCAGAUGCUGGAUGGAAGAGGUGACCAGAUGACAUGUUAAGAAGUGACCCGCCCCGUGUUGCGUGUGACACUUUGCAGUGUGGCAUCUUUUCUGUGAAGGUGAAGUUCAGCUGGAGCAAAACAGUCCACAGAGCCAGGAAUACACUGGUGCUACCAUCUGGGGAUCUCUUCAGUUUGGUGAUGGCAUUUCAAGAGGUAUGAAAUGCUGUAUCACUCCACAGGGAGAGAGAUUAAACAAGUUAAAUCCUAACUCAGUGAUAGUGUGCAAAGAAACAAACAUAACAGUUGCUGGGUGACAAUGCAAUUCCAACCACACCUAUUAGCUGCUGCUUUUUGCUUUUAGCAGGAGAGAGGGUAAUGUGAACUUUACUUUCAUGCACCAGUGGGGCAAAAAAAACCCACCCUAUAUUGUUGCUAAGACAAGUGAUGUUAAGUGUUAGGGACUAUUUUCAUGUGUACUGUUGCCUUUCCCAUGAUUCCUUAAACAGUUAUGAAAAAAAAAUUAAAAAGAUUCUCAGUUC
rnacentral:lncRNA from 1 species